rnacentral:miRNA from 1 species
UGCUUUAAGGAUAUUUGUUAAGGA